rnacentral:lncRNA from 1 species
ACUUUCUGAACACCAUCUCUUUGCGAAAACAAUCAAUUGAAGCAUUUGCAACAAAAAAUCCAUGCCCAAUAUAACAUAAAAAUCAUGAAUAUCAAGUGGAUCAAAUUAGCUUUCAACUCCUGAUUAUUUACUCUAAUCGCACAAUCUUUUUACACACCGUUAGCUAAAAGUGAAUCUCCUAUACGGUUCGCUACUACCGAAUCACCGUUUAAUGGCUUCAAUAUAUGAUCCACAAAAAUAGCAAAUGCAUAUGAUAUAAAUGAAUAUGUAGCACUUGAAUCAAUUAAAGAACGAGCCUUUUUGCCAAAAUAGAUGAUGUAACCAUGACUACAUUUGGUGACUCAUUGGCAUCAUGUUGAGUCAGGGUAAAAACUCUUCCUUGAGUCCUGAUACGUCCUGCCUGGCCCUUUUGUCUAGUGCCAUGUUGCUAGCGACAUCAGAUUGAACAACAAUCAUAGCACCUGCUUUACCUGUCAAUAUGUCCCAAUUCAAAUUUUGCCUAGAAAUUCCACCACCUGCCUGUGAAGACGUCUUUUGUGAUAAACCACCUUGCUAAAGAUGAACUUGACACUCUCCAGAGGCUCAAUCUCGAGCCCACUCUUCCACGAGUCUGGACAUGAAGCUACUAGAAGUGGAAACACCUAAUCUACCUCCUCUACGAUCCCUCAUCGGUAGUCUAUCGAUAGAGACUCCUGCCCAUGUCUGAUUGCUACCACUAGCUCCAGGCCUCAUUUGUUCUUGACUAUUUUAACAUUCUGAAAGACUUUUUUCAACUCUCAGUGUUGUUUCUAUAAUUUUCCAAAAUUUUCAUAUCCUGUUGUAGUCACUACUGAUCUGAUUUCUUUUCUCAAACCCUGUUCAAACCUUUUGCAGUUAUCAACUCCGUAAGCUACUACAUAUUUAGACAACUCCACAAACUUUUUAUGAUACUUAGCCACCGUGGACGUCUGUACUAGCCUCAACACUUCGUUUUGUUUUUUCAUUCUUACAAGAACGAGGUCAAUAGCGUUCACUGAAAUCAUUCUUAACAUCACCUGACUCAAUUAUAGAAUGACCAGUAUACACUUCCUUUUAAGAAAGUAGGAAGGCGUAGUUUUCGAUCCUCGGGAAAAUCCAUAACAUCAAACACACUUUCAAUCUUUACCAUGCAUGAUUUUGUUAUUGCUGGAUCAGUCGUGCCGUGCCUUAAACACUUUAGCUCGCAAUUUAAUUGUUCAUUCUAUGCUAUACCCUUUAUCUGGGCUGCGUAAAACAGAAGCAACAGUUGUAGCAAUCCUAUUAGGUAUAGGAUUAUUCUCAGCUACAUUUCCUUGUCAUAGCUGCUCCUAAGUCGGAUGAAUAGAUUUUUCAUCCCUACUAUCUUCUCUAUUAGGAGCAACAUGUGGUUGAGGUGGCAUAUCUUGGAGCUUACUAGUCUUACCACCAUGACCUAUGACCAUCCAACAAAUAUGUAUGACAUACUAAGAACAAAGUCAAAAUAGAUGCAAGUCUGUUGACUCUAUGACCACGACCAUGCUCUGAUACCAAUUGACAUGAUUCGUUCCAAAUUACCCUAGUAGACCCAACACAUGACGUGCGAUGAUGGUAGAUACCAGCUAAGUACCAAGGCAACGUUGACCUGCUUUGACUGUGACAUAUAUUUAUAAAAAAAUUUAAAAAGUUUUCAUUGUAAUAUGGACUAAAACUGCUCGAACAAUAUUCAACUUUCUCAAACCUAUACAUGUACAUAAAAGUAGGGUUCACCAUUCCCUCUAUACACAAACUAGUCAAAAUAAAGUGUACUGGAAUGAUAUUUACACUUCUUUACAAGCUAAAACACUCCAAAUGCACAACAUAUACAAAAGAUACAGCGAGCCCUUGAUAAGGGUACACAAAUUUACAAAUCAACAUUUUUUUACAAAAGAUGCAUGUACCCUAAAAGAAAAUGUACUAUAUAAACUAACAAAGUAAGUCGUACAACUAAUGACAAUAUGUGUGGCUCAUUUUGAUGGAUCGAUAGCUCCAACGCUACUCAACUUGGCUAUUAUCUAAUAAGAAAAAUGUGACAAAAUAUAUAAGUUUGUAACUCAUUGAGUGGAUAUUUUGCAAAUAAGUAUAGUUUUUCCAUUUUUACAAAUGUUGUGAAAACGCUUAUGAUAUUACCACUUUAAAAAUAAUAUGAAAGCUAAUAAUAUUUUUAAAACUAAAGUAUAAUGGAAUCAUAAAAUUCUUUACUUUUAUUCUGAAUAAACCACUGUAAGGUAUAACGGAGAUACUAAAUCUGACGUCCAUACUAUGAGUAAAAACGUUAUUUCACAGUACUAUAAGUUGAAAUAUUUAUUCUGUAAACUAAAUAAAUUUAAUUCUGUAGUCCAAAAUCUGAUAAGCUAUAUAGUACUAAAAAAUCACACAAAUAAGGUACUUGAAGUAACCAUACUCGUAUUGAUGAAUAUCGAUGUACAUGACAAAGCUAUUCAAUUCUGUAAUUCUUGUCAUACGCUUAUUCUGUAAUCCCGGUAGAAAGAAGUUUCCUUAAGGAAAAUGCUUUUAACGCUGUCCAGUAUCCUUUCCUUGUCCAAAUAUUUUUAUGAAUACGCUUUUUUGAUGCAGAAGUACCUUUUUUUGGAACUGCCAUUUAAAUACAAAUUAAGAGAUUACUCAUUGUUAUAGCUGUAUGUGAAAGACAUCUAUUAUUCAAAAUGAAUGUGUAGUUUCCUAUUCAUUAGGAAUUUCUUUUCUAGAAAAUAUUGUUAUAAAAUAAAAAGAAAAAAAAAUAGAUANN